ACAUUGACUUUGAAAUUUAUUAGACUCUGCCAAUUAUUGUACAAGUGCGUAUUACCGAAGAUUGCCGAACGAAGUGACCCAAGUUCAUUUGCCAGGGUUACUGGGUGACGAAAAAGUACAUAACGACGAGAAUACACACAAAACCAACGCUUCGAUGAACGAACAUUUUUACUCCUUACAUUCAAGUUAUUGUAAUUUGUUUUAGAUCUGUUGUAUUAAAAUUUACGUGAAAUUCUGAAAAUUCUUCACCACAUCCACAACUAUUGGUCCUUCGAACUGCGAAUCUACAGUGCCAGCAGAACUACAAAGAAAAUAGCAGCUUUACAUUCUACGAACCGACGUCGUACUUGACCCGCUGUAUCAACCCCAGGAAGCUACAUUUACAACACUGAAUACUGAAUCCUUUUUAUAAUUUCACAUUUUUUCAGUCUCUAUUUGAUAAAUAUUUUAAGUACAUGAGUUUCAAUCUAAAUUAAUAUAUUUAUUUCGAAUAGUGACAUAUUAGGUCUGUUCCUUUGUUUUUUAGUGUUACACUUUUGAGUGUAAGUGUACGAAAUUCUAUGGACAUUCGAGUGUAAAAUGACAGCGGAUGUCACAGCGGCUCAUGACAGCGGACAGUAUUAAAGGAAAAUUAUCGGUGUGCCAAUCAAGCAAAGGGACAAGGAACUUCCGAAUAUGGCCUAACUGGGGGCACAUUGGGCACAUAACAUAACAUAACCUAAUCCUAAUAUUAGGCAAUCCAAACCACGUGACCUCUGGUUGGCACACAAACUAACGAAGAGGUUAUGUUUGUAUCUAUUUUUCAAUGAUUUUUCAUUGUUUAUCGUCGUAUUUUGUCUAUUUUCAAUUCAUUUGGAUUUCGUUUCCUGUUUUUGUGAACUUUAUAAACUUUACCACAAUGCAAACUGAUUAUUUAAGGAAAUUAUUAUUGGAAACUCCAGAUGUUGCGAGAAAGAUAUUUAUUGAAGCUGAAAAUAAUUGGGGAUUUAGAUCCAUACGGAAUUCAGUCAGAAUUGGAUUUUACAGUAAAGUGCAGUCCAUCAAGUUACUAUUAUAGAUAUUUAUACAGAUCUGGUGGAGUCUCACAGUUGCUACUCUAAGCAGCAGAUGAAAGCAUACAAAAGCCUUCAGGCACAUAAAUAUUUUACAGCUGGAUUUGUUUUGAAUGGAGUAAAAAUUGUUAAUGAUUUCCUGAUUUCCAUAUUAUUGUUGGAAAGGUGAAGCAUUUCCAAAAAGCUAAUGCUAAACGACUAAAUGCUUGGGUGGGGUGAUAGCCAGUUCUGAUGACAUAGCAAAUGCACAUUGUAUGCGUAUGGCUGGUAAUAGUGAAGUCUGCAGCAAUCCUAUUUUUAGCUGAGUAUGUCCAGAGCAAGACAGACGAAGAAGAACCCAAUGCAUGUACAUAUGUUACAGCUACAUGGUUUGGAGAUAGCAACAUAUGCAUUCUCUGAUGAAAAACUAAUGAGUUUUGAAACUGUUCGGUCAGAGUGCUUGUUGCGCUCACUAAACGAACUGAAAUAUAAGAUGGCUUUGGCAUUGUGUUGCAGCGAUAUGAAAAUGGUUAUUCAUUUUUAAUUAUAAUGUACUUCUUCAUCAUGAGUAAUUAUGUAUUGGUCUUUUAGAUGUGUAUUUAUUUUUGUAAUUAGUAUCAACUUGUAAUGAUAAUAUAUAUUUAUUGUUUAAGGUACGACUAUGUUUUGACUCUAAAAUAAAUGUUUUAAAAAUCGAAUCCUGCCUCUUUCUGUUAGUAACUACCCAUGGAUAUCACAAAUUGUGCUUACUGAUAGGUUUGUUCGUAGAACGAUCAGCAACUCUUGCCAACCAUCAGACACAUGCGCAUUCGUAGUCUAUGAAUGCUAACUAUUAACUGCACAACACUAACUGUUAACUGCUCAUGCAUCUGAUGGUUGACAGCAGUUGCUAAUCGUUUGUGUCGUACUAGGAACAAACCUAUUAGGUCUGGAUCCUGUGUACCAAAAAAAUUGAUUAAUAGCAAGCUGAAAAUUUGUUAAUAGCUUAACGGUGUCCAGUUGGACAAACUUUGAUGUAUUGUGACACUGGAACAGGGGUAGUUUUAAUUGUGAAACAGUUUGGAAACUCAGAUUUGGAACAUCAGAUUACAAAAACAUCCCAUAUAUUUUGUCGGACAGAACAUCCAAUUGAUCUGUUACCCUUUCAUUAAAUUGUCAUGCAAAAAUCAGACUGCUAUUACUAACCAACAUGAUUCCUGUAGUUUGACAUGGUCUUCGUGUUCUACUCAUUAAAAUGCCCAGUUGAUGAUUUUUUCACCAAUCUGGUUUUUGCAUGAGGGUUUUAUUGAAUUGGUAGCAAAUCAAUUGGAAGUUUUAUCUGACAAAUUACAUAAACAUUUUCGUAGUUUGACGUUCCAAAUUUUUAACCUGUUCCACAGUUAAAACUUCUAGUGUUCCCAUACAUCAAAGUUUGUCGGACUAGACACUGUUAAGCUAUUAAUAAAUUUUCAGCUUGCUAUUAAUCAACUUUUUUUGGUACGCGGGAUCCAGGUCUAUAUGGAAUAAAUAAAUAACAAAACAAAUUCCCUGUCAAAACUGCAUUUAUUUUGAAUAGAAUGAAAAACAAAAUAAUAUUGUUUUAACAAAAUAGGGGAUAAAUGUUAAAAUUUAGUAUUAAUAAAGUUUGUCACAUUAGCCUAAUAUUAAUGUCACUAGUUACGUUAGUGUCACAUAUAAAUAAUUGUAAUAAUAUUAAUAAAAAGCAUAAUUCCUAGCAUGAGUGCGUCCUGUUUUUUGAUAAUUUAGUUAGGCGAGGAAACAUAAAUGAGUUUCUAAUAGGGCUUUUCAUCGAUUGUCAUUUGUUUCGAGCUUCUGUUAGAUGUUGUAUAAUUCGUGUAUAAUAUUACUAUACACGGAUUAUAGGACAUAUGACAGAAGCUCAAAACAAAUGACUGUGAAUGAAAAGCCCUAUAGAGGGAAGACGAAAAAAAUUAACAUUAUCCGAUCAGCUCGACUUUCACAGUUCACUACUAUACAAGUUACAGGCAUGUUUUCAGCACUUAAAAUCACCAAAAACGAAAAGUUUAUAAAAUAAUCAAUCUAAUGAAUGUCUUUAAAUACUAUAUUAAGCUCAAAAUCACGAUAAAAAACAAAUUAAAAUUAACAUUAUUCUGAUCAGUUGACUUCCACAGUUCACUACUAUACAAGUCACAGGCAUGUUGUCAGCACUCAAAAUCACCAAAAACGUAAAGUUUAUAAAAUAAUUAAUCCAAUGAAUGUCUUUAAAUACUAUGUAUAUUAAGCUCAAAAUCACGACAAAAAACAAAUUGAAAUUAACAUUAUUCUGAUCAGUUGGACUUCCACAGUUCACUACUAUACAGGUCACAGGCAUGUUGUCAGCACUCAAAAUCACCAAAAACGUAAAGUUUAUAAAAUAAUUAAUCCAAUGAAUGUCUUUAAAUACUAUAUUAAGCUCAAAAUCACGACAAAAAACAAAUUAAAAUUAACAUUAUCCCGAUCAGUUGGACUUCCGCAGUUCACUACUAUACAAGUCACAGGCAUGUUGUCAGCACUCAAAAUCACCAAAAACGUAAAGUUUAUAAACUAAUUAAUCUAAUGAAUGUCUUUUAAUACUAAAUUAGCUAAAAAAUCACGACGAAAAACAAAUACGAAAAAUCCAAAAUUACAUUGAGUUUAGGUUAAAAACGGUUUUGUGUGCCAACCAAAGAUCACGUGAUUUAACUUUGACAGGUCGAUGGAUUCCCUAAUUUACAUUUGUAAAGAAUAUCCUGUUUGUUUUUAUUGUCGAUUGUGCAGCGAAAUUGUGUGCAGCAAAUCAAAUAUAAAGUAGUUUAUCGCCUACAGAACUGAAUUAGUCCAUAGCAGUUAUCAGUUUUUCUUUCUUGGGAAGCUUAUACAUGUAACUUGUAUUGUUGUAAAUUGUGGGAGUAGGGCAGACAGGGAAAAGUCUUAUUUUGUACUGUUCCCAAGGCUCCCCAUGCAAUACAUUUAAAUGAAUUAUCCAAACAAAGCCGGGGACAAUGGAUAAAAGCCACAAGAAGAACAGAUAUAAGGGAACUAAAAUUAAAAUAUGAAAAGUAAACAUUUUAUAAGUGGAACAACCACCAGAUAUUUAAAAGGUAUAAAAAGAAGAAACUGCUGGAAUUUCAAAACAAAUGUGUUUGACUAGUAAAGAUUUGGAUAAAUAACAGGAGUUACUUUGGGCUAUAGCUACGUGCAGAUUUAUUUCCUUGUGGCUUCCUAUGUUAAUUCUUAUUAAUUAUACACUUAAAUAUGUUUUUAGUCUCAGGAAGAUUUUAUAUUUGAUUAUUUUUGAAUAAACAUUAUUAUUAUUAUUACCUUAAUUUCCAUUAAAUAAAUUAACUGUAAUCAAUAAAGUAAUCGUUUAAUUGUUAAUAAAUUAUCAAGUAUGA